rnacentral:rRNA from 1 species
GUGGAUUAGUGGCGAACGGGUGAGUAACACGUGGGCAAUCUGCCCUUCACUCUGGGACAAGCCCUGGAAACGGGGUCUAAUACCGGAUAACACUCUUACAGGCAUCUGUGGGGGUUGAAAGCUCCGGCGGUGAAGGAUGAGCCCGCGGCCUAUCAGCUUGUUGGUGAGGUAGAAGCUCACCAAGGCGACGACGGGUAGCCGGCCUGAGAGGGCGACCGGCCACACUGGGACUGAGACACGGCCCAGACUCCUACGGGAGGCAGCAGUGGGGAAUAUUGCACAAUGGGCGAAAGCCUGAUGCAGCGACGCCGCGUGAGGGAUGACGGCCUUCGGGUUGUAAACCUCUUUCAGCAGGGAAGAAGCGAAAGUGACGGUACCUGCAGAAGAAGCGCCGGCUAACUACGUGCCAGCAGCCGCGGUAAUACGUAGGGCGCAAGCGUUGUCCGGAAUUAUUGGGCGUAAAGAGCUCGUAGGCGGUCUGUCACGUCGGAUGUGAAAGCCCGGGGCUUAACCCCGGGUCUGCAUUCGAUACGGGCAGACUAGAGUGUGGUAGGGGAGAUCGGAAUUCCUGGUGUAGCGGUGAAAUGCGCAGAUAUCAGGAGGAACACCGGUGGCGAAGGCGGAUCUCUGGGCCAUUACUGACGCUGAGGAGCGAAAGCGUGGGGAGCGAACAGGAUUAGAUACCCUGGUAGUCCACGCCGUAAACGGUGGGAACUAGGUGUUGGCGACAUUCCACGUCGUCGGUGCCGCA